rnacentral:rRNA from 1 species
GGCCACACCCGUUCCCAUCCCGAACACGGAAGUUAAGCCCACCAGCGCCGAUGGUACUUGGACGGAGACGUCCUGGGAGAGUAGGUCGCCGCCGGAA